GGAGGGUAUAGCUCAGUGGUAGAGCACAUGCCUAGCAUGCAUGAGGUCCUGGGUUCAAGCCCCAGUACCUCCA
rnacentral:tRNA from 1 species